GUCCUAUUGGCCAGACCAACGUCGCUCUAGAUGCCUCUCCCUGAUUGGUUAGUAAUGCUGUCGAUCACCAAUGUCUCGGACGCUUAUUGGUGGGCUCCGCCGUCGCUCGGGCGGUGGCGGGCUCCGGGAUUGGCGGGCGCUAGGCGGGCGGUGUCAGGCUCUCGGUGGCGGCGGAGGCGGCGGAGGCCAGGGAGGAAGAUGUCGUAAUGAGCGGCUGGCCUUGAACCCACUGUGUACCCUCAGUGUUCCUCCUGCCUGGGCCUCCGGAGCGCAGAGAUUACAGGUGUGUGCCAUCACACCCAGCUUGAGUCCGUAUUUGUGCUUUAUUCGGUGCAGCAUCUGAAGUGUUCCCGUGGCUGAGCCGACUGUGACUGUCUCCCUAGCCUGGCCUGCACCGGGGCUGCUGCUAGAGGCUGGAGAAAGCUGGCCACUGCCGGCCUGAGGAGCAGACCUCGGUAGGGAAUGCACUUGUUGGUUUUGCCCUUUGCUUUUGUUUUGAAUACUCAUUCAGCUCCUUGUGGGAUUUCUAGACCUGUUGUAGGAGAGAAAAAAGCUCUUUUUCUUUUCUUACUUUAUCAACCCAGGAUAUUAAGUCUGUUUCAGAAAUAAAAUGGAAACUUUCUCUUAAGAUGCUCAUCAUGACCAGCAGUUUUAAAUUUUUGUUUUUUCCAGUAUUGGGGACUGAACCCAGGGGCUUUGCACAGAGC
rnacentral:lncRNA from 1 species